CCUGGAGAGACAUCUCAGCAAAUAGA
rnacentral:piRNA from 1 species